GCCAGGAUACAUCAACAUUUCUGAAGGCAAUGGUAGACCAUUAUCAUUUAUAACUGACCCGGAAACACCAUUGAUGUGUUUUGUUUCUCGUGGUCCUAUCUGUGACCUGCCUUAAUGGUGGGCAUGACCUCAAAUUGUCUGCAUGGGAGGGAGUUGGAUGAUACAACUUCCGCAAGAUGUUUGAAGGCAUCACUAUUGUUUGGCUGCCAUUUUUUUCUUUUCUUUCUAGACUGGGCAACAUGGUCGUUGUUAAAACUGUCUACCAAUGAUAUCUGCUGGCUGGCUGUUCACUUGAGAUGCUAAUUUUAUCAGCAUUGUGCAGGGACCAUCCGACUUGGAAAAAGCCAUUUGCAGCAUGGUUUCCAUACGCAACGGUAGAGCGCCUAUGGUACCAGCUUGAGGAAUUGGGUAGAGCGCCUAUGGUACCAGCUUGAGGAAUUGAUUAAUUUGGGUCACAUGGUUGAUCAAAAUAGCAUGGUUUCCAUAUUGCGUGGAGCUUUGCAGAACCACCUCAAGCAGGUGAAGAUUGACUCUGAAGAUUCAUUAUCCGCUGCUACCUGUUAAGAAGCUUUUGGAACGGUUGAAGUAAUGGUCAAUAGAGCAUAGGAAACGUAAGGAUCUUUGAACAGAUUAUGAGCUGCAUAAUCAGUAGUAAAAUCAUGGCAUGUACCGGUAAACCCGAAAUUCUGAGCACAAUAUAUUUAUCGAUUUGCUUGCCCACUGGCUGGAUUGUGUUUGGGGAAGAGAUGGAUGCUUUUAUCUGCACAUGCAUAUACAUACCACUUGGCUGGCCAGUUCUGUACGUAAGCCGUUGAGAAAAUAGAGUUAGAUGAGAUUUAGUUUGUCAGAGCCUUGACACUUUGUGGGGUAUUUUGGGAUUUGUCUUUUCCAUUAUGUUGUGAUUUGCAACUCCGAUUUUGCUUCUAUGUUAAAUUGAAUUCAAUCAGUUAUUGGUACAUCUAAACUGGAACAGGUUCGUGGAUUUUGUUUUUCCUGCCAUUUUUCUUUUCUUCAUGGUUGAAUAUAUUUUUCUGCUUUUAUUCGCGGGGACUGUAAAAAUCAUGAGGUUCCAAGAAAAAAAAAUUGUAAGAAUAAUUGUAAGUUUACCUUAUUGAUCUCGAUAACUUUUUUUUUGAAAAAAUCUGUUAUACAAGUUUAAUAUAUUUUCUACUUUUAAUGGUAAUAUAUAAUCUUUAUCAGGGGUGUAAUCAUAGAUUUAGUAUCGGGAAGGUAUAUAAUUUUUGGGAGUUUGGGAGAAUGUAGCAUGUGUGUCCUUUUGUUAGCAAAAUAGGAAAUCAAUUUACUUUCUUCUCGUAAGUGUAUAUAUUACUAAGAUUUGUUAGUUGUGGGCGAUCAUGGAAAUUGCAAGCUCCAGUCCGUUUGUCCAAUUGGAAAGGAAGAUAUCCUGAAACGUUAGAACGAGGGGAUAAAAAGAAGAUUAGGUGCGUGCUUUUUUGGCGUGAGUGGGAAGCAUAUUCUGUACGCACAAAUAAUUCUCGCAAAAUUAGUGUGUUUUAACACAGACGUGGUGGUGGCAGGGCAGCGGAGGGUCGAGGUGGUGGUCAAUUUAAUAAAGGGUGACGUUGGUCCCUGUGGUGGUGUGGUGCGUCAUCCAUUUAUGACUGUUUUCCAUUGCUCAGGAGGAAUUGAUGCUCUCUUUCUCUCUACGCACGAAAACGAAAACGAAAACGAAAACAAAAAGGAAAAGGGAAGGGAAAAGGUUAAGUUUGUUCGGUUCGGUUUAGUUUGAUAGAAAGAGAAAGGAAGAAGCUUAUGUUUCUGAAACAAGCAAGCAGAUAUUUUUUAAUAUUUUGUUUUAAGCAUACUUUUUGUUUUUGUUUGGUAGUGUGGUGCUUUUCAAAUAA